CAUACACACAGACACACAGACACAUACAUACAUACACACAGACAGACACACACACAGAUAGACAGAUACAUACAGACAGACAUACACAUACACCCCCCGACAGACACACAGACACAUACAUACAGACACACAUGCAUACAGACAAACACAUACACACAGACAGACACACACACCACUGAACGACAUACACACACAUACAGACACACACACAUACAGAC